rnacentral:rRNA from 1 species
GGGUGAGUAACACGUGACCAAUCUACCUUCGGGAGGGGGACAACCUGGGGAAACUCGGGCUAAUACCGCAUAUCGUCCACGGGCCGCAUGGCCUGUGGAUAAAAGGGAGCCUCUGCUUGCAAGCUCUCACCCGAAGAGGAGGUCGCGGCGUAUCAGCUAGUUGGUGGGGUAAUGGCCUACCAAGGCAACGACGCGUAGCGGGUCUGAGAGGACGACCCGUCACAUUGGGACUGAGAUACGGCCCAGACUCC